rnacentral:tRNA from 1 species
GCUCCCAUGGCGUAGUGGUCACUGCGCUCGCCUUGCACGCGGGAGACCCGGGUUCGAUUCCCGGGGGGGUCA